rnacentral:rRNA from 1 species
GUGCUUAACACAUGCAAGUGGGGCGACGAACCAGGGCUUGCCCUGGGGCAAAGCCGCGAACGGGUGAGUAACACGUGGGUCACCUGCCUCGAUGACUGGGACAACCCGAGGAAACUCGGGCUAAUACCGGAUGUGCCCGCAAGGGGAAAGGAAGCUUCGGCCUCCGCAUCGAGAUGGGCCCGCGGCCCAUUAGCUUGUUGGUGAGGUAAAGGCUCACCAAGGCUCCGAUGGGUAGCUGGUCUGAGAGGACGAUCAGCCACACUGGGACUGAGACACGGCCCAGA